rnacentral:rRNA from 1 species
GACGAACGCUGGCGGCGUGCUUAACACAUGCAAGUCGAACGGAAAGGCCUCUUUCGUGGGGUACUCGAGUGGCGAACGGGUGAGUAACACGUACGUAACCUGCCCUUGACUUUGGGAUAACUUCAGGCAACUGGGGCUAAUACCGGACAGAAGCUCCUUCUACCUGGUGGGUGCUGGAAAGUUUCGGCGGUUGGGGAUGGGCUGGCGGCUUAUCAGCUUGUUGGUGGGGUAGUGGCUUACCAAGGCCUUGCCGGGUAGCCGGCCUGGGAGGGUGACCGGCCACAUUGGGACUGAGAGACGGCCCAGACGGCGACGGGAGGCAGCAGGGGGGAAUAUUGCACAAGGGGUGGCAGGCGGAUGCAGCAGCGCCGGGUGCGGGAUGACGGCCUUAGGGGUGUAAAACGCUUUCGCUCGUGACGAAGCUUUGUGUGACGGUAGUGGGUAAAGAAGCACCGGCUAACUACGUG